AUGAUGAGGCUACACUGGCACCUCAGCUUCGCCUCAGUGUGCUUGUAUGUGUGCGGUGAUAUAUUUCAGCCGGAUCACCGCAACGAAAAGUGGAACCAUUGUGAAGGACACUUUUACAAGGGAUGGACCCAUCUUCGACUGCUUCUUAAAAAAGCAUCUGUGGACUUCUGUUGUAAAUGCCAUGAAGAGAAAUGCAUUUCCAUUGCAAUUUUUCCAACUUUAAGACAUGUGCCAGUUUUUUGGGCAUAUAAAAUAAGCCAUAAAGGGGACCCUGUUUUGUCAGAGCACAAUCUGUUGAAGAAUAUUACAACUUGGUAUAUAUCACCAUCGGUUGUUGAGGAUCUGCUCAGAGAAAAGUUGCAUUCACUCCCAUCUCAAGUGACCUCAAGACCCUCCCUAUCAAUAACACAUAUUUUAAGUGGAGUGUUUCCUCUCAAUGCGAAAUACAUUCACAAAGAGGGAAACUGGCACAACUCAGGCUACAUUCACUGGAUCACAUAUCACCACACAAAUGUGAAGGGGCUUAGUUUUGAAGGAGCACUUGUCCAAAAAAGUCAGGAGAAAUGUAAGUGGAAAUGGCUGAUGGUGAAGCAACUGGUUGGGAUUCUUUCUGAAGUCUUUUCGGCCAAACCCAUGCAAACCUUCUUCAAUCAUCAAAACAUGAAGUGCGCAGGAUCAAUCAUAUGCCAUGCACUUGGAUUUACAGAGGACUUCAUAAAGAGGAAAUAAAGAGUACAGUUUUAAAACCAAAGGUAAGCUAUGCUGGUUACAAGCCAUUCAAACAUUAAAAAUAGCAAUUUAGCAUAAUGUAGCAUUUAUUUGAAUUAUUCU
ensembl:lncRNA